rnacentral:rRNA from 1 species
GAUUAACGCUAGCGGCAGGCCUAAUACAUGCAAGUCGAACGGUAAAUAGAUAGCAAUAUCUAUGAGAGUGGCGCACGGGUGAGUAACGCGUAUGCAACCUACCUAUAACUGGGGGAUAGCUUCGAGAAAUCGAAAUUAAUACCGCAUAACAUUAUUGAAUGGCAUCAUUUAAUAAUUAAAACUCCGGUGGUUAUAGAUGGGCAUGCGUGACAUUAGCUAGUUGGAAGGUAACGCUUACCAAGG